AUUGAACGCUAGCGGGAUGCUUUACACAUGCAAGUCGAACGAGUGGCGGACGGGUGAGUAAUCUAUCGGAAAGUGCCCCGUCGCGGGGGAUAACUACUCGAAAGAGUUGCUAAUACCGCCUACUAUUGGAGCUGCCGAUAUCGGAUUAGCUAGUUGGUGGGGUAAAGGCUCACCAAGGCAACGAGCCGUAGCUGGUUUGAGAGGACGACCAGCCACACUGGGACUGAGACACGGCCCAGACUCCUACGGGAGGCAGCAGUGGGGAAUUUUGGACAAUGGGGGAAAACCUGAUCCAGCCAUCGCGCGUGUAUGAGAAGGCCUUCGGGUUGUAAAGUACUUUUGGCAGAGAAGCGGUAACUGCAGAAUAAGCACCGGCUAACGACGUGCCAGCAGCCGCGGUAAUAC
rnacentral:rRNA from 1 species